rnacentral:rRNA from 1 species
GCACAACGCGAAGAACCUUACCCACCUUUGACAUGUACGGAAUCCUUUAGAGAUAGAGGAGUGCUCGAAAGAGAGCCGUAACACAGGUGCUGCAUGGCUGUCGUCAGCUCGUGUCGUGAGAUGUUGGGUUAAGUCCCGCAACGAGCGCAACCCUUGCCAUUAGUUGCUACGAAAGGGCACUCUAAUGGGACUGCCGGUGACAAACCGGAGGAAGGUGGGGAUGACGUCAAGUCCUCAUGGCCCUUAUAGGUGGGGCUACACACGUCAUACAAUGGCUGGUACAGAGGGUUGCCAACCCGCGAGGGGGAGCCAAUCCCAUAAAGCCAGUCGUAGUCCGGAUCGCAGUCUGCAACUCGACUGCGUGAAGUCGGAAUCGCUAGUAAUCGUGAAUCAGAAUGUCACGGUGAAUACGUUCCCGGGUCUUGUACACACCG